rnacentral:sRNA from 1 species
GUUUCUUCCUCUCCGUUCGGUCGGGAGUAGCAUCCUCCACUCAGCCACCCUUCCCACUCCCCCAGCGUGGGGCAGCUGCGGCUGAGGGCUGUGGCUUUGGCAGCUGCGACGGGGAGCGGCGGAGACCGCCUCUGCUCCCGCCUGGGGUUGCUGCUUUUGCUCAGAGGACAUCCAUGACCCUAAUGGUCUUUUUGUUCAAGAUAAAGUGAUUUAUUGCCUUUGUUGAUUAACCGGACAAAUUCAG